AUGCUCAAGCUCAAAAUCUUAGGGCUUGCGGCAAUCGACCGCGCAAGGAAGCGCCAAGCUUCCAGGAUCACAUGGCUGCGUGCUGGAGAUGCGCCCUCAGCUUUCUUCCAGGUGAAGAUCAAUGCUAGGAAGCGAAAGGCAUUCAUCCACACUCUACGUGGGCCAUCUGGAGUUGCCACCUCGCAGGAGGACAAGGCAAACAUGAUCCAUGAUCAUUUCUCCUCCCUACUGGGCACGACAGCGCACCGCGACACCACCAUCAACUGGCAUUCCCUAGCCAUGGCCAGGCUACAAGGCGGAGGGCUCGACAACCCUUUCACAGAGGAGGAAGUG
rnacentral:rRNA from 1 species